rnacentral:rRNA from 1 species
GUGUAUGAAGAAGGCCUUCGGGUUGUAAAGUACUUUCAGCGGGGAGAAAGGGAGUAAAGUUAAAACCUUUGCUCAUUGACGUUACCCGCAGAAGAAGCACCGGCUAACUCCGUGCCAGCAGCCGCGGUAAUACGGAGGGUGCAAGCGUUAAUCGGAAUUACUGGGCGUAAAGCGCACGCAGGCGGUUUGUUAAGUCAGAUGUGAAAUCCCCGGGCUCAACCUGGGAACUGCAUCUGAUACUGGCAAGCUUGAGUCUCGUAGAGGGGGGUAGAAUUCCAGGUGUAGCGGUGAAAUGCGUAGAGAUCUGGAGGAAUACCGGUGGCGAAGGCGGCCCCCUGGACGAAGACUGACGCUCAGGUGCGAAAGCGUGGGGAGCA